rnacentral:ncRNA from 1 species
AAAAAGUCGAUGAGCAAAGAGAGUACAUUCGGAAUGAAAUCACAGAGAGCUGUCGGUGGUGGAAGACAGUAUGGAAUUCCCUAUGGAAUGGGUUUGUGAGACGCCAGGUGAAAGAGAUUCGAGUAGCUGCGGCCGUGAUUCCUGCGUUAAAGGAUAAGAGUAUCGAAAGAGAUUUCCGUACUCUGAAAUGAGACAGAUUGGUGGCAGAUAUUCCGAUGUGGGAUAGCUGCUAUUUUUGUUUGAAAGUGUUGUCAAGCGGAUAGCCAGAAUGAUGUGCUUGCACGUCAGGCUGGAUAGACAUUUGACAACCAAGCCUACAUGAGUAAGUAGGGCGAUCGCCCGGAUUACGAAUGGAGGCGGCAACUGUGGGAGUGCCGUAGGCACGGAGCAGUUGGCUUUCGAGGAAGACUGAUCUGUGAAAUCGGGUGGCACCACGAACGAUUUCGUCCCGGCA